rnacentral:rRNA from 1 species
AAUGGGCGCAAGCCUGAUCCAGCCAUGCCGCGUGAGUGAUGAAGGCCUUAGGGUUGUAAAGCUCUUUUAUCCGGGACGAUAAUGACGGUACCGGAGGAAUAAGCCCCGGCUAACUUCGUGCCAGCAGCCGCGGUAAUACGAAGGGGGCUAGCGUUGCUCGGAAUCACUGGGCGUAAAGGGCGCGUAGGCGGCGUUUUAAGUCGGGGGUGAAAGCCUGUGGCUCAACCACAGAAUGGCCUUCGAUACUGGGACGCUUGAGUAUGGUAGAGGUUGGUGGAACUGCGAGUGUAGAGGUGAAAUUCGUAGAUAUUCGCAAGAACACCGGUGGCGAAGGCGGCCAACCGGACCAUUACUGACGCUGAGGCGCGAAAGCGUGGGGAGCAAACAGGAUU